rnacentral:lncRNA from 1 species
UCUUGAUAUAUGCCAGUCACACUCCCCCAAACUCCUCUCCAAGUAGAGAACUAAAGCUCUAUCAAAUAUUUCAUCCCAACUUAAUUUUCUAGGGUAUUUGUUGUUGUUGUUGUUGUUGUUGUUGUUUAUUUUGGCAGUUAGGCUUGUUCCUGAAGUUUAAAUGGCACGGUUUAAAUCAUGUUCUGUGCAUACAGGGAGGCCAUGUGUUCCCUGGGGCCCAGGACACCCAGCCUGGGUGCUACGUAAUGCGGCCUUCCUGUCUUAUGGGGCAUUGCUAACAGGUGGCCCAUCCCAAAUGCCUGCAGAUUUUCAGAGGGGCGCUGAACUCCCCAGAGAGGAAGGAUAGUGCGGAGAUUUCCAUUGUCUUGCUUUGGUUUAGAAAGCCCCAGGGUAGGGGUGAGUCCUGGUCCCGCCCCAGCCCUCGUGAAGACCCACCUGCCUCAGAGAAUGGCUGAGCUCCAGAGACACCUGAGUCAGUGCCCAGCCUGGCAGGAUCUUCUGCAACUACGUGCACCGGCACCUGUGCUGCAGGCCUCCCGCUCCCAGCCACGGACCAGCACCUGGGCUCAGGCCUUUAAGACCAGGAGUUGGCUGUGGAGGCUGAGGAGAGGCGAGACUUUGGCGUGCGGCUUGCGUGACUGCAACUAGACAAGGUUAGUCAUUUGGUAAAAACAGAUGUUGGUAUUUUCUAAAACAAAUCCGACUUCCAAAUAUUGGGCUGAAACACGCAUAGUGUUUCCCUCUAGUCGGGGGACUCCCUUUGUAACCUCACUCCUGAGUUUGAGACGUGGGGUGGGAGCCAGGCCAGGGUCGCUUACAGUGGGGGCCUCUUGCCCUCACAGCCUUGUCAGGAAUGGCCCCAAACCAAGAGCGUCCUCGGGUCAGUAUUUCCUGGAUUAUUACGUGAGUUUACUGCAAUAAACUUCAUCUGUG